UUCUUGAAGUUUAACGUAACACAAUGUCUCGCUAUGAAAGUUUAAGUGAGAAAUUAAAAAUUUUGCAAAAACAUGUCGAAGGCUUGAAAGAGAAAAUAUCCACCGCCUCGGAUUUAUCUGAUACGGUUUUUCAGCUGUCUGUCUCGCACACUUCUCUUUUCAUGGCCGCCAAGGAAAUAAGUUGUAAGGAAGAGAACAGCACAGAAAAAAUAGAAAGUUUUUAGAGGGGAUAGAAAAUGCGUUGUUUAAAAAAUAUAUAAAUGAUAAAAUUUCUUGCUCAUCUCUUUU